GCUGAGCAGGGUGGCCCAUGCCUGUAAUCCCAGCAGCUCAGGAAGCUGAGGCAGGAUGAUGGCAAGUUCAAAGCCAGCCUCAGCAAAAGUGAGGCGCUAAGCUAUUCAGUGAGAUCCUGUCUCUA
rnacentral:sRNA from 1 species